CCUACGGGAGGCAGCAGUGGGGAAUUUUGGACAAUGGGCGCAAGCCUGAUCCAGCAAUGCCGCGUGAGUGAAGAAGGCCUUCGGGUUGUAAAGCUCUUUUGUCAGGGAAGAAACGGUGGAGGUUAAUACCUUCUGCUAAUGACGGUACCUGAAGAAUAAGCACCGGCUAACUACGUGCCAGCAGCCGCGGUAAUACGUAGGGUGCAAGCGUUAAUCGGAAUUACUGGGCGUAAAGCGUGCGCAGGCGGUUGUGCAAGACAGAUGUGAAAUCCCCGGGCUCAACCUGGGAAUUGCAUUUGUGACUGUACGGCUAGAGUGUGUCAGAGGGGGGUAGAAUUCCACGUGUAGCAGUGAAAUGCGUAGAGAUGUGGAGGAAUACCGAUGGCGAAGGCAGCCCCCUGGGAUAACACUGACGCUCAUGCACGAAAGCGUGGGGAGCAAACAGGAUUAGAUACCCUGGUAGUCCACGCCCUAAGCGAUGUCUACUAGUUGUCGGGUCUUUAAUUGACUUGGUAACGCGAGCUACGCGUGAGUAGACCGCCGUCGGGAGGUACGGUCGCGAGAAGUUAAAACGUUAAAGUUAGUAAGUUAGUACGGCGUGAGACGUAGACCGACGGACGACGACGAGGGGAGGAGG
rnacentral:rRNA from 1 species